rnacentral:rRNA from 1 species
GACGAACGCUGGCGGCGUGCCUAAUACAUGCAAGUCGAGCGGAUUGAUGGGAGCUUGCUCCCUGAUAUCAGCGGCGGACGGGUGAGUAACACGUGGGCAACCUGCCUAUAAGACUGGGAUAACUUCGGGAAACCGGAGCUAAUACCGGAUAAUCCCUUUCCUCUCAUGAGGAAAGGCUGAAAGAUGGUUUACGCUAUCACUUAUAGAUGGGCCCGCGGCGCAUUAGCUAGUUGGUGAGGUAACGGCUCACCAAGGCAACGAUGCGUAGCCGACCUGAGAGGGUGAUCGGCCACACUGGGACUGAGACACGGCCCAGACUCCUACGGGAGGCAGCAGUAGGGAAGCUUCCGCAAUGGACGAAAGUCUGACAGAGCAACGCCGCGUGAGUGAUGAAGGUUUUCGGAUCGUAAAACUCUGUUGUUAGGGAAGAACAAGUACGAGAGUAACUGCUCGUACCUUGACGGUACCUAACCAGAAAGCCACGGCUAACUACGUGCCAGCCGCCGCAGUAA